AAAAUGCUCAAGAGGCAAUUCCGUACACUGAAAGCCCAGGGAAGACUCCCUCUGGACCUCCCUCUGAGACCAAUGAAGGCCUGGCUCCUGGCAGGGAAAAGAGUCUUCUUGGAGCGUGAGACAGAGACAUGGAAGAGAUGGAGGAAGGUCUGUGUAGCUGAAUUGACUUGGGAUGCAAAGAGGGGCCUGGAAUUACAGGAGACAGAGAGAGUUCUCCUGGUCAGUUGCCAGAGAGUUCAGGAUGAAUUAAGGAA